rnacentral:rRNA from 1 species
UAUUGGUCAAUGGGCGGGAGCCUGAACCAGCCAAGUCGCGUGAGGGGUUAAGGCCCUACGGGUCGUAAACCUCUUUUGCCGGGGAGCAGGGCGGCGGACGUGACGGCCGUUGGAGAGUACCCGGAGAAAACGCAUCGGCUAAGCCCGCUCCAGCAGCCGCGGUAAUACGGAGGAUGCGAGCGUUAUCCGGAUUUAUUGGGUUUAAAGGGUGCGUAGGCGGGCUUUUAAGUCAGCGGUAAAAAUUCGGGGCUCAACCCCGUCCGGCCGUUGAAACUGGGGGCCUUGAGUGGGCGAGAAGAAGGCGGAAUGCGUGGUGUAGCGGUGAAAUGCAUAGAUAUCACGCAGAACCCCGAUUGCGAAGGCAGCCUUCCGGCGCCCUACUGACGCUGAGGCACGAAAGUGCGGGGAUCGAACAG